rnacentral:tRNA from 1 species
CCGGCGGUGGUCAAACGGUCAACAUGGUGAGCUUUCAACUCUUCUGUCCCAUGUUCAAGUCCUGCCGCCGUCGGU